AGUAGUCCUAACAAGAUCAGUAGGAUGGGACCAUGCUCAGCACCUCUUGGGGCUGAUAGUUCUUAUAUAACACAAGGUAGUAUGCCCCUUAGUCAAUCUGAGGCUCCGGCUAUAAGGUAUCCUCAGAAUAUUUGUCUAACCCCUUGUGGAGAGCCAUCCCAGCUGCUUUUCUUAGGGACAAUGGUACUUGCCUUUAACGGAGUGCUGUGGGCAGUUGCUCAAUUUGGAGAGAAAUGUGUGAAUGUUCUUUAAUUGCUCUCUCUUUUUAUGUACGUUCUUGCCCUCGUGGAACUGGAGGGCUGAAUCGGUCCUAAGCCUGUUCAAGCUUGGAUGAUUUUUGCUCAGACAGCAAAGAAAGGGGGAUUGAGUUCAGUUAGCUGACUCCGCAUAAAGCAGGCUAAGGGAGAACUUUUCCCAUCACCAACCUAUAAACUCAUUUCUUCCUUGGUAAUCACCGAAUCUUGCAUACUCCUUCCUUCUUUGCCCUGGUGUUAAAGUUCUCAUUCCCUUGGGUUCUUUUUACCCACAUAUUUCUGAUGUAUGGAGACAUCCUUCUUUCUCAGCAAGGGUUUUUGUUUUGUUUUGUUUUUACUCCAAGCUGGUUCAAUUCUAUAUUGUAUUAUAGCAAGCCAAGCUGUUAUUACUCCAAGUGCCACAAUUCAAAACUACUUUCUUGAACAAUUAUUUACUGUUUUGUUUUUGGUUUUGGUCUGCUGGGCACCUAUGUUCAGUUCUGGCAGCAAACAGAAUUUAAAGAAUAAUUCUCAGCAGAAGUUAUUAAACCAAUGUCAUCUGAGCACUCCAGUUUUCUUAUUUAUAUACUCAAAACUAAAGCAGUACUUAAAUUUACUGGCCAUGAUAAAACACACUUAAUUUGAUGGAGACUAUCCCAUGAAUGUUUAUUUUCCUGGUUUCAUACUAACUUGUUUCUGGUUUUAUGAUGAUUCAGAAACUGAAAAUUGAUUUAUCCAAACAUUAAUUAAAAAGAGAACAGUCCUGUAAACAUGUACUGUUCUGCUCUUACCUACAUUUUCUUUAUUUUUGUAAAUCUCAUUUGUAAAGUUUUGAGAUCUGAGAUUUUCUAGAGGGU
ensembl:lncRNA